rnacentral:misc_RNA from 1 species
GGAAGUAAAUAACAAGGUCUCCGCUGGUGAACCAGCGGAGGGAUCAUUACCGAGUUUACAACUCCCAAACCCAAUGUGAACCAUACCAAACUGUUGCCUCGGCGGGGUCACGCCCCGGGUGCGUCGCAGCCCCGGAACCAGGCGCCCGCCGGAGGGACCAACCGAACUCUUUCUGUAGUCCCCUCGCGGACGUUAUUUUUACAGCUCUGAGCAAAAAUUCAAAAUGAAUCAAAACUUUCAACAACGGAUCUCUUGGUUCUG